UCCAACCCUGCUCACCUCUCAGCUGGACAGUAAGGGACGUUUACAUCACACACUGACAACAUGCUGGGGACCCUCUGCACUCUCAUCACUGCUCUGACAUAUGUUGAUGCAGUGAUAGUGGUGACCCAGACCCCUGCUGUCCACACAGUUUCUACAGGACAAGAAGUUGUUCUUAACUGUAACAUUGAAAGAUAUGAUACUGCUUCUGUCAGUUGGUAUAAACAGGUUCCUGGCAAAGCUCCUCAGUUUGUUCUGAAAUUUUUUUAUGGGGACAAUUCACUAAACUUUGGAACAGGAUUCUCCUCAGACCGCUUCAACUCUAAAUACUCAUCAAACAUAGAUUACCAGUUCAUCAUUAAGCGGGCAGAGGCAGGAGACUCUGCUGUCUAUUACUGUAAAGGAUGGGACAACUCUGCCAAGGAGUACAUAUCACAGUGAUUCACACUAUAACAAAAACCUCCUCAUAAAAACUUCUGCUUAAUACAACACUUCACAAUUCAGAACACCACCUGAAAUGUGCUAUUGCUCCCUACUGACUCCAGGUUCCCAUUACUUUGACCAACAUCAAACUUAAACAUCAGAAAAACUGUAACAAAACAUCAAAGGACACUAAAUAAACUCGUCUACAGACAGGAUAAGAGAAGAACUGCAACAGUGUUUUGGAAAAUGAGAAAACUGAUGAAGUGAAUGAGAUGUUGACAGUGAAAGUUGGUCUCAACAGGAUGUUUCAGUUCCACUCCCCUCAUCAGUGAGAGUCAGGAGGUUUUUGUACAGCCAUGUGUACA